AUUGAACGCUGGCGGCACGCUUUACACAUGCAAGUCGAACGGUAACAGGCCUUCGGGUGCUGACGAGUGGCGAACGGGUGAGUAAUGCAUCGGAACGUACCCAGAGGUGGGGGAUAACGCAGCGAAAGCUGUGCUAAUACCGCAUGUGAUCUGAGGAUGAAAGCGGGGGACCGAGCAGCAAUGUUUGGCCUCGCGCCUUUGGAGCGGCCGAUGUCGGAUUAGCUAGUUGGUGGGGUAAAGGCCUACCAAGGCGACGAUCCGUAGCUGGUCUGAGAGGACGACCAGCCACACUGGGACUGAGACACGGCCCAGACUCCUACGGGAGGCAGCAGUGGGGAAUUUUGGACAAUGGGCGCAAGCCUGAUCCAGCAAUGCCGCGUGCGGGAAGAAGGCCUUCGGGUUGUAAACCGCUUUUGGCAGGAACGAAACGGUGUCCGCUAAUACCGGGCGCUAAUGACGGUACCUGCAGAAUAAGCACCGGCUAACUACGUG
rnacentral:rRNA from 1 species